rnacentral:rRNA from 1 species
CGCCUGUUUAUUAAAAACAUAGUUUUUUAAUUUAAUAAAAAAUUUUAUCUGCCCAUUGAAAAUUAAUAUUUUAAAGGCCGCAAUAUUUUAAUUGUGCUAAGGUAGCAUAAUCAUUAGGUUUUUAAUUUGAAUCUGGAAUGAAUGAUAUAAUGAAAUAAUAACUUUUUUAUUUUUAAAAUUUGAAAUUUAUUUUUAAGUUAAAAAGCUUAAUUUAUUAAAUUAGACGAGAAGACCCUAUAGAAUUUUAUUAAUAAUUUAUAUAAAAAUAUAUUUUAUAUUUAUUUUAAUUUAGUUGGGGAGAUUUUAAAAUUUAUUAAACUUUUAUUAUAAAAUUCAUAAAUUUAUGUUUUAAUUGAUCUUUUUUUAAAAAAAGAAAAAUUAAAUUACCUUAGGGAUAACAGCAUAAUUUUAAAAAAAAGUUCAUAUUUUUUUUAAUGUUUAUGACCUCGAUGUUGGAU